CAUGACCGUUGUUUGCUGCCUCUCGACUGUAAGGAUAUCUGAGCUGCACAUUUGGGUCAUUCUUCAGUUCAUCAUGGCUGGGUCAUUGGUGGUCCUCUGCAAAAAAUUAAGAGGAGAGGAAUCUUUGUCCUAUAUUUGCCACAUCAUCCUUUGGAGAUACAACUGUGAUCAUGUUCCCUUGAACUGAGGGAACCGAGAGCUGGCAACUUAUAUUCAAACUUAUUAUUUUUAUUAUUAUUGCCAACUUACUCUUAUUACUAAAUGCAGAUCAAUUCUUGCUUCCAGGUUGCCAACUUACUCUUAUUACUAAAUGCAGAUCAAUUCUUGCUUCCACGUUCAGUCAACUGAUCUAACGAAUCAAGAGACCGAUGCAACAGAGCAACCAAUUGAAACCACACCUUUCACUGACAGCUCCGUCACAUGAAAAUAUUUGUUCUUCUUUGGCAGAGUUAUUUUUAUUCCUCUUUGCAUGGAGAUAUCUGUUUCUACUGUUUUUACAAAUAUUUUGUAUGGUGAGCACACAGGACUCCCAUUGAUGAGUUCAUAUUUUGCCAAAGCUGAUCCCAGGUUAGUUUCUUUUAUAUCCAGUCCAGCACCAAGAGUGGCAUGCUUGGAAACCUGAACACAAGAUAUUACAAGUUAUGCUUAUACUCCCCCAAGUCCUAAAUUCUCUGUUCUACUUGAAUCUUAAUGCAAAUAAUUGAAAGAAAUUCUGGCUUUACAUGCUCCGGUUGUAUUAGUCUUGACGGAUACCUAAUUUCUUCAUCUGCAUUUCUGCAGUCUUACAGUGCACAUACUCGAGCACAAAAAUCUGAGUUGUAUCUUCAGAAUCUAUGUGGCCAACCAGUGUAAAUGUGAAUAUUUUGUACGCUUAAUACUUCUGAUUGGAUAUUUAACUAUUUUAGUAAAUACCUCCUGGGUUACCAUAUGUUUCAGCAUUUAUCAUUCAUGCCAUCGAUAGGUUGUUACUAAA